UUAAGUGAAUAAGGGCGCACGGUGGAUGCCUUGGCACUAGGAGCCGAUGAAGGACGGGACUAACACCGAUAUGCUUUGGGGAGCUGUAAGUAAGCUAUGAUCCAGAGAUUUCCGAAUGGGGGAACCCAAUAUCUUUUAUAGGAUAUUACUUUUCAGUGAAUACAUAGCUGAUUAGAGGUAGACGCAGAGAACUGAAACAUCUUAGUACCUGCAGGAAGAGAAAGAAAAUUCGAUUCCCUGAGUAGCGGCGAGCGAAACGGGAAGAGCCCAAACCAACAAGCUUGCUUGUUGGGGUUGUAGGACUCCAAUAUGGUAGUCUGUUAGUAUAGUUGAAGGAUUUGGAAAAUUCCGCUAAAGAGGGUGAAAGCCCCGUAGACGAAAUGCUAACAACACCUAGGAGGAUCCUGAGUACGGCGGAACACGAGAAAUUCCGUCGGAAUCCGCGGGGACCAUCCCGCAAGGCUAAAUACUCCCUAGUGACCGAUAGUGAACCAGUACCGUGAGGGAAAGGUGAAAAGCACCCCGGAAGGGGAGUGAAAUAGAUCCUGAAACCGUGUGCCUACAACAAGUCAAAGCUCGUUAAUGAGUGAUGGCGUGCCUUUUGUAGAAUGAACCGGCGAGUUACGAUUGCAUGCGAGGUUAAGUCGAAGAGACGGAGCCGCAGCGAAAGCGAGUCUGAAUAGGGCGAAUGAGUAUGUAGUCGUAGACCCGAAACCAUGUGAUCUACCCAUGUCCAGGUUGAAGGUGCGGUAAAACGCACUGGAGGACCGAACCCACGUACGUUGAAAAGUGCGGGGAUGAGGUGUGGGUAGCGGAGAAAUUCCAAACGAACUUGGAGAUAGCUGGUUCUCUCCGAAAUAGCUUUAGGGCUAGCCUCGGAAUUGAGAAUGAUGGAGGUAGAGCACUGUUUGGACUAGGGGCCCAUCUCGGGUUACCGAAUUCAGAUAAACUCCGAAUGCCAUUCAUUUAUAUCCGGGAGUCAGACUGCGAGUGAUAAGAUCCGUAGUCGAAAGGGAAACAGCCCAGACCACCAGCUAAGGUCCCAAAAUAUAUGUUAAGUGGAAAAGGAUGUGGGGUUGCACAGACAACUAGGAUGUUGGCUUAGAAGCAGCCACCAUUUAAAGAGUGCGUAAUAGCUCACUAGUCGAGUGACCCUGCGCCGAAAAUGUACCGGGGCUAAACAUAUUACCGAAGCUGUGGACUACACCAUUAGGUGUAGUGGUAGGAGAGCGUUCUAAGGGCGUUGAAGGUCGAUCGUGAGGACGGCUGGAGCGCUUAGAAGUGAGAAUGCCGGUAUGAGUAGCGAAAGACAGGUGAGAAUCCUGUCCACCGUAUGACUAAGGUUUCCUGGGGAAGGCUCGUCCGCCCAGGGUUAGUCGGGACCUAAGCCGAGGCCGAUAGGCGUAGGCGAUGGACAACAGGUUGAUAUUCCUGUACCAGUUGUUUUUGUUUGAGCAAUGGAGGGACGCAGUAGGCUAAGGAAUGCAUGCGAUUGGAAGUGCAUGUCCAAGCAAUGAGUCUUGAGUAGAGUUAAAUGCUUUACUCUUUAAGGACAAGUUGUGACGGGGAGCGAAAUAAUAGUAGCGAAGUUCCUGAUGUCACACUGCCAAGAAAAGCUUCUAGUGAGAAAACAACUGCCCGUACCGUAAACCGACACAGGUAGUCGAGGAGAGUAUCCUAAGGUGAGCGAGCGAACUCUCGUUAAGGAACUCGGCAAAAUGACCCCGUAACUUCGGGAGAAGGGGUGCUGACUUCGGUCAGCCGCAGUGAAUAGGCCCAAGCGACUGUUUAUCAAAAACACAGGUCUCUGCAAAAUCGUAAGAUGAAGUAUAGGGGCUGACGCCUGCCCGGUGCUGGAAGGUUAAGAGGAUGGGUUAGCUUCGGCGAAGCUCAGAAUUGAAGCCCCAGUAAACGGCGGCCGUAACUAUAACGGUCCUAAGGUAGCGAAAUUCCUUGUCGGGUAAGUUCCGACCCGCACGAAAGGCGUAACGAUUUGGGCACUGUCUCAACGAGAGACUCGGUGAAAUUUUAGUACCUGUGAAGAUGCAGGUUACCCGCGACAGGACGGAAAGACCCCAUGGAGCUUUACUGUAGUUUGAUAUUGAGUGUUUGUACCACAUGUACAGGAUAGGUAGGAGCCGAUGAGACCGGAACGCUAGUUUCGGAGGAGGCGCUGGUGGGAUACUACCCUUGUGUUAUGAACCCUCUAACCCGCACCACUAAUCGUGGUGGGAGACAGUGUCAGAUGGGCAGUUUGACUGGGGCGGUCGCCUCCUAAAAGGUAACGGAGGCGCCC
rnacentral:rRNA from 1 species